UCUUGUUCUUCAUCAUUACCAUAUUGCUCCUCCCAAAUGGCCAAGGCCAAAUCCUCAGGUACAAAGAAAUCUGCCUCAUUAUAUUCUUCUUCUGGAUCUAAUAACCAGCUUGAUGUUCAACGUCUGCUGGAACUUCUUGUUCAGGAUCAUUUACUGGAAUAUCAAAUAAUAUGUUAUGUAUAAAUUAUGGAAGGUAGUAUUAGUGGAAGAUUAAGUUAUAACUUACUUUCUGGAUUAUCAACAACAUUGUUAUUCAAUAGAAUAUCUUCAACAACCUCAACUACAGCUUCUCCCGAAAGAAGAUAUAUACAAUUUUUAUUUUUUAUCCACAUUUUACUAUUUUUUUUAAUUUGAAAAAUUAGUAAAAAAAACUCACCCAACAUUCUCCACAAAU